GUAGGGUGCGAGCGUUAAUCGGAAUUACUGGGCGUAAAGCGUGCGCAGGCGGUUCUCCAAGUCCGUUGUGAAAGCCCCGGGCUCAACCUGGGAAUGGCAGUGGAAACUAGGGGACUGGAAUCUGGCAGAGGGGGGUGGAAUGCCGCGUGUAGCAGUGAAAUGCGUAGAGAUGCGGCGGAACACCGAUGGCGAAGGCAGCCCCCUGGGCUGAGAUUGACGCUCAGGCACGAAAGCGUGGGGAGCAAACAGGAUUAGAUACCCUGGUAGUCCACGCCCUAAACGAUGGCAACUAGGUGUUGGGGAAGCGAUUUCCUGGUACCGCAGCUAACGCGUGAAGUUGCCCGCCUGGGGAGUACGGUCGCAAGAUUA
rnacentral:rRNA from 1 species